GGCAGGAGAAUCCCUUGAGCCCGGGAGGCAGAGGUUGCAGUGAGCAGAGAUCAUGCCACUGCGUGACAGAGCGAGAUUCCAUCUCAAAAACAAAAACAAACAAACAAAAAAAACAAGGGCCAUUUUAUGAGCAUGAGUUGCUGCAAAGAGCUGGCUAGGAAAUGUACGUGCCCAAGGAAAGGUCCAUGCUUCACAAGAGGGAGUUCAUCUCUGAUGACGAACUGCUGAUGCGCCUCAGAUUCAGUGUCUUCCCUGGACAGUGCUGGAUAUUAUCAACCAAUGCUGGAAUGCAGUGGUGCGAUCUCAGCUCACCGAAAACUCUGCCCCCCAUGUUCAAGCGAUUCUCUUGCUUCAGCUUCCCCUGUAGCUGGGAUUACAGGUACGCAACACCAUGCCCAGCUAAUUUUUGUAUUUUUAGUAGAGACGUGGUUUCACCAUGUUGUCCAGGCUGGUCUCAAACUUCUGACCUCAAAUGAUCUUCCUGCCUUGGCCUCCCCAAGAGAGUUGCAUAAUUUAACUUGUGCUCCAACUUUGUUGUGCAGAUGAAAUGGGUUUUCCUAUCAGUUUGUCCAUAGCUGCUCUGGUCUUCUAUUAAGCCACCACUCACUUGGUUAGUUGUUGUUGGUGGUGGUGAAGAUGAUUGAAAUGUCCAGUCUGGUUUAAAGCAUGGUAAUGCUGAUCAUUGACAUAAUUCCUUUAGCUAUGUUCAGUUUCUCUUGGAUGAAUUAUCUCAAUAAUCUCCCGGUCUUCCUGCUUCUUCUCCUAACGUGGUGAACAGAUGUAUGGAGAAGAGAGACUAGUAUGGCUUAUGAGUCUUCACCACAGCAGGAAGAGCCACGGGCCCCUUCUGGGUCCCCCGCCUUCUCUCUCCUUUGUCCACCUGUUUUCUGUGUGCUCUGCUGGUCUGAAGCUGCAGCCUGUAGCAGUUAGCAUGUGGUCGUGAACUGAAGGUCCUGCAGGUCCGGCACUGGUCCCGUGGUCCUGCACAGCCUUGGCAAUGCAUCUUGGGAACACUGGCCCCUUUUCCAUUACAGACUUGACUUGCCCUCAGCUCUGACUGUGAACACUGAGCCUCUGCUUUGUCCCCCACUUGUCGCCUGCCCUGGUUGUGAAACCUGCCCAAUUGUCCCAUACAACUAAUGUUUAGAGUUUCUUCUGAAUAAACAUAUGAAUUAAUCCUCUUAGUCUUAAAACUUGAGUAAGUUCCAUUUGUCUUAUCUGAGUUCCAUUCUCAGGAAACCAACCGUCAUGCCUCCCAGAUAGUAUCAGGAAGCUGAAACUUACCAGGUUGCUGCAUCAGGACAGUGAGAUGCCAGACACCUCACCCAUCAUGAUUGCCUAACUCACCACCUGCUUCCUGUUGACCAACUCCUCUUCCUCACCCCUCUCUAUUCCUGUUUUCCUGCAUGUAGUUUCAUUUCUUCCUUGCUGUAUAAACCCCUGAUUUUAGUUGAUCAGGGAGAUGGAUUUGAGACUGAUCUCCCAAUUCCUUGGCUGUAGCCCCCGAUUAAAGCCUUCUUCCCUGGCAAUACUCACUGCCCCAGUGAUUGGGUUUCUGUGUGGUGAACAGUAGGACCUAGAACAAAGCCCUGGUGUUGUAGUAAGAGUGGCCUGCUGCAGCCUAUGCAGUGGGGUCUUCUCUUGGUUCAAACUCGUGUCCUCUAUCAUUAGUUAAUACCAUAAUCGUCUCCGAAUAGCCUCUCUACCUAUGGCCUCCUCCAGUCUCUUUCUCACAGCUGCAGAGCAUCUUUCUAAAAUGCCCAUAUGAUCAUAAAAAACCCUUAAGAGUUUCCAC
rnacentral:lncRNA from 10 species